UUUAAACCAUAUACCCUAAUAAACAACAUGUUUUUUUUAAAUAUUUAUAAAGCUCCCAAAUCCCUUCUGUUAUUUGCAUCUCCCACAUCUCCUCUGCCAUAAGAGGCCUAACUACAAAGAUGGGUUUGUGCUACAUGAUCUUGCCUCUGCUACUCUCAAUGCUGCUGCAAAUAAACACUGCUGAAGAAUACAAGACAUAUAUUAUCCACAUGAACAACUCCCACAAACCUGCAUCUUUCUUAACCCAUGAGUCAUGUCACAGGUCCAUCCUAAAAUCACUACCAUCACCUCAAGCAGAUCAAAAUGACAGUGAAAUGUUGCUGUACUCAUACAACCAUGUCAUGCCCGGCUUCAGCACCAGGCUCACACCCUCUCAGCUGUCUGAACUGGAUAAAUCUUCGGCUCAUGUUGCCACGCACCCGGAGUCUUUUGGACAGUUGUACACAACACAUAGCCCCAAGUUUCUUGGUCUCAAACACAAACUUGGCUUAUGGCCUGCUGCGUCCUACGGCGAAGGCGUGAUCAUAGGAGUUAUUGAUUCAGGAAUUUGGCCAGAGAGUGAGAGAGCUUCAGUGAUAAGGGAAUGCCACAAGUGCCAGAAAGAUGGAAAGGCAAGUGCGAAAAUGGAACAGCAUUCACCUCAUCUCUAUGCAACAAGAAGCUCAUUGGGGCUCAAUCCUUUAGCAAAGGGCUCAAAGCUGCAGGACAACCCAUCUCGGAAUAUGACUAUGACUCACCAAGAGACUCCUUAGGUCACGGAACCCACACAUCAUCAACAGCUACAGGCCAUCGUGUAGUCAGUGCAAGUCAUUUUGGAUACGCAAAAGGCACAGCAAGAGGGGUGGCACCGCGCGCACAUGUGGCCUUGCACAAGGUCUUGUAGUCAGAAGAUACCAUAUUUAGUGCAAGCAGCGAUGUGCUUGCCGGGAUGGACCAGGCAAUUGCUGAUGGUUGAUAUCAUAUCGCUGUCGAUUGGCUUGCAAAGGCUCCCUUACUAUGACGAUGUCAUUGCCAUUGCUUCGCUUUCAGCGAUUGAGAAAGGUAUUGUUAUCGUCUGUUCUGCUGGGAAUGAUGGCAACUCCAAUUCGAUGAACAAUGGAGCACCCUGGAUCACAACAGUAGGAGCUGGCACGCUUGAUCGUAGUCUCACUGCAUCAAUGACUAUAGAUAAUAACUUGAUAGUUGAAGGAACAUCCUAUUUCCCAGUGAGCGUUUACAUUACAGAUACGCCAUUGUAUUAUGGGAAAGAAAAUGUGAAGAAAGCAACAUGCGACUUUGGGGCAUUGGAUCCUAAAGAAGUGGAUGGAAAGGUUGUCUUAUGUGAUAACACUACGGAGUUUGAUGUUGGACAGCAAAAGGAACACGUAGAGAAGGCAGGUGCUUUUGCUGGAAUCUUCAUGACCAAUCUCUCAACUACGGUCCCAGAAGAGUUCAACAUUCCUGCCAUGGUUCUGUCAUCUGAUAUAUAGUGGCUUUGAUUAGAGAACAUGUAACAAAGGUCAGCGCAACUCAAGCUAAGAGCCUGACCUUUGUGCACACAAAGUUUGGUGCAAAACCAGCACCACAAGUGGCCCAUUUCUCUUCAAGAGGACCAGACCCAAUCAAUCCAAGUAUUCUAAAACCAGACAUUAUUGCUCCGGGGGUCGAUGUGCUGGCUGCAUUUCCACCUAACAAGAAAUACAUAUUCACGAGUUAUACUCAACGCGUGCUCAAAGAAUCAGUUCCUCCUAUUUUCCAAUCCACCGAAGCCUUCCAAACAACAAUGAUUGGAAGCAAACGCCUUAGGAGCAAAACCACCGCAAUUGCUCAAUCCGUGACGGCCCAAAGCCACUUCACCCAUGAUUCCACUAUUGACAUGGUGGUACCGCCACCUCUCACCAUCGUGCUACCUACCGAACUCGCAACUGAGACCAUCGCACUGGCCACCGCCGAUAAGCAUGGUGGAACCUCCCAUCAAGGUGGACUCGUUACCACCACUGACUUAGGCCCAGUCUUGGAGCAACUUCAAGCAUUCCCUUCAUUGCCUCCAAGCUCGAUGCACGCUCCUGCAUACACCUCUAAUGAAACCCUAGCCCGAGUUCAAUUGGGCUCCACAAACUUCUCUUUUCCCUAUCCACGAAGUCAAGCAUAUCAUAAUCUGAGAGUUGACCAGCUAGCUCAGAUGAUGGACGACCAAACCAAUCUAAUGAGUCAGCUCCUCCACCAAAUAAACUUGGUUCAAAACAUUGGCUUUGGACAACCGGGCGAAGAGAGAAGGAUGGAUGAACGCACCAAUCGGCAACUCGAUGGGUACCAAGCACGUCGAGCAGGAAUAGGCAGACAAGGAAAGGGACAAUAA